rnacentral:misc_RNA from 1 species
UGCUAAGUGAUAUCUGUCAUACAGCACAGGUUCAUUGAGGCACUAGUAAACUCUUCUGCAUAUGCAUUCACAUACGGUUAGUGAAAAUGCUUGGUCAAUCGAGUUCCACAUUGAACUGCCAAGUCCAAACUGUUCCUUGCUUCAUGGAAGUUUUUCAUGUACCUUUGCCAACUGUUAGAGAUGUCAGAUGUGUGGCCUUGUAAGAAUGUUGUUUUAAUAGCAUUUGCUAUUUGAUCAUUUUGGACAAUCUUUUGGAUCUGUUUGUUUCUGUGUAUGCUUA